rnacentral:rRNA from 1 species
CUAUCUACAGGCUUAACACAUGCAAGUCGAGGGGCAGCAUGGUCUUAGCUUGCUAAGGCCGAUGGCGACCGGCGCACGGGUGAGUAACACGUAUCCAACCUGCCGUCUACUCUUGGACAGCCUUCUGAAAGGAAGAUUAAUACAAGAUGGCAUCAUGAGUCCGCAUGUUCACAUGAUUAAAGGUAUUCCGGUAGACGAUGGGGAUGCGUUCCAUUAGAUAGUAGGCGGGGUAACGGCCCACCUAGUCUUCGAUGGAUAGGGGUUCUGAGAGGAAGGUCCCCCACAUUGGAACUGAGACACGGUCCAAACUCCUACGGGAGGCAGCAGUGAGGAAUAUUGGUCAAUGGGCGAGAGCCUGAACCAGCCAAGUAGCGUGAAGGAUGACUGCCCUAUGGGUUGUAAACUUCUUUUAUAAAGGAAUAAAGUCGGGUAUGGAUACCCGUUUGCAUGUACUUUAUGAAUAAGGAUCGGCUAACUCCGUGCCAGCAGCCGCGGUAAUACGGAGGAUCCGAGCGUUAUCCGGAUUUAUUGGGUUUAAAGGGAGCGUAGAUGGAUGUUUAAGUCAGUUGUGAAAGUUUGCGGCUCAACCGUAAAAUUGCAGUUGAUACUGGAUAUCUUGAGUGCAGUUGAGGCAGGCGGAAUUCGUGGUGUAGCGGUGAAAUGCUUAGAUAUCACGAAGAACUCCGAUUGCGAAGGCAGCCUGCUAAGCUGCAACUGACAUUGAGGCUCGAAAGUGUGGGUAUCAAACAGGAUUAGAUACCCUGGUAGUCCACACGGUAAACGAUGAAUACUCGCUGUUUGCGAUAUACGGCAAGCGGCCAAGCGAAAGCGUUAAGUAUUCCACCUGGGGAGUACGCCGGCAACGGUGAAACUCAAAGGAAUUGACGGGGGCCCGCACAAGCGGAGGAACAUGUGGUUUAAUUCGAUGAUACGCGAGGAACCUUACCCGGGCUUAAAUUGCAGAUGAAUUACGGUGAAAGCCGUAAGCCGCAAGGCAUCUGUGAAGGUGCUGCAUGGUUGUCGUCAGCUCGUGCCGUGAGGUGUCGGCUUAAGUGCCAUAACGAGCGCAACCCUUGUUGUCAGUUACUAGCAGGUUCCGCUGAGGACUCUGACAAGACUGCCAUCGUAAGAUGUGAGGAAGGUGGGGAUGACGUCAAAUCAGCACGGCCCUUACGUCCGGGGCUACACACGUGUUACAAUGGGGGGUACAGAGGGCCGCUACCACGCGAGUGGAUGCCAAUCCCCAAAACCUCUCUCAGUUCGGACUGGAGUCUGCAACCCGACUCCACGAAGCUGGAUUCGCUAGUAAUCGCGCAUCAGCCACGGCGCGGUGAAUACGUUCCCGGGCCUUGUACACACCGCCCGUCAAGCCAUGGGAGCCGGGGGUACCUGAAGUGCGUAACCGCAAGGAGCGCCCUAGGGUAAAACUGGUGACUGGG